rnacentral:lncRNA from 1 species
GGUCUCACUUAUCUCCCUAGGAAUUAUUUUCUGUGUGUAUUUCCAUUGUGAUAGGGUAUAUGCAGUUAUUUACUGAUAAAUGUUUUGCAAUUUGAAAAAACAAAUCUAUGCAGUAUACACUUUUAAGUUCAAUUUGUAUUAUUAAUAUUUUCUCCAUUACUUACUUAAGCCUAGACAAUCAACAAAACAGUAAAUCAAGCCCAAGUUUGUUGCAUCUACUUUUGAAGGUGUAAAUGUUCACAAUGAAAAUUUAACAAUCAGCUCUGGAGAGCUGACUUAAGCUGACUCUCACACACUCCUGAAUAGGACUCAAAAAUCAACAAGGUUGAAAACAUCCUGGUAACUGCUCUCCGAGAACCAUAGACAUUUGGUUUGGAGAAGUUUACUGACUUGUUUUUGAGGACAAUUUACAGUAGCAUGGAUUUGGUAUCAAAAGAGAGAUACUGUCUUUUAAAUCAGUAUUUACUUAGAAUCAUUUCAAGGUAAAUAUUAGAUAGUCUUGUCUUAGACUGGAGAGUCAAUGCAAAAUCAUUGCUCUAGGAUCAGUUGGUUAUUUAAAAGAAGAUACUACUUUAGAAAACAGUUUAUAAGAGCAAAAAAAAUAAGCAUGUAGAAGAUAAUAGUUAAUGCUCAUGGUGCUAUGUAAUGAAGUUGAGAUUCCCAGAGAAUGGAUUUUCACAACAAAAUUUGGAAAUCAGAGACGAAUUCUUUAACAUUAUUAUAUUCAUAUUGAAGCCAAACUUUUCUUAGCUGUUAACCAAGGUCCUGUGGUAAAACAAAAGCCAAACUCUUCUUAUCCUGAACCCCUUCUUUCAUCUCUCCUUCAGAAAUCUCAGAUGAGGUGGACAGGAGUCUGGCCCCAUUACAGAGUCCUACUCUAUCAUCUCUGCCCUGAUAAACCUUUAUUUAGCAAGAUCCAUCCUAAGUCACCUCAAAGCUUUCACCAGGGCUACACUACAUCAAGAAACUAUGGAGCAUUUGCCCCAGGGUUUUUCUGGGCAGCCUACCUUUAUAAGUUGUGGCAAGAAGGAAGAGCGAUGAAUGGAUCAGUACGUGCGCUUUAGUCGCUUCAGAAUUCAUUGGAACCGUUGUUUGGAGAUGCGUCCUGACUUGUCAUCUUCUUUAUUAGCUGGAUACCCUCUUCAGGCAACUUCUUACUCACCGAAAAUAAGCCUUCUUGGCUUCAUAACAGCCCGUGGGGAGAGGUAAAGUGCGUGCAGUCAAUUUGGAACAUCCGCUUCUAACUUUUUAUUCUGGUUAGUGCAAAAUGGAUGUCCUUCGGCACAGGUGACGUUCCCAAAUGAAUGAAAAGUAUUUUUUAAGAGCUUGCUACGCGCCAGGCAAAUGAUGCUCUUUAAAGUUUGUGGCAGUCUGUAUUUAUGCCUAUUAAACGAGUUCAGGAGAAAAUCACAUACCUGGAAGCUCUUUCUUUGCUGGAUAAUGAGAUUUGAGCACAUGUCGGGGAAAAAUCAUUUGUAGGAUGUUGUCACAGACCAUGAGAGAUAUAUGUACAGUGUUGUUUGGUGCUGCUGGGUGAGGGGGAACUACAAUUACUUGUCAACAGCCCAAGAAUGUGAGAAGUGGAAGCGACCUGUUGUCAAAAUACCGUGUUAUAUCCACGGGGCUCACAUUGGGGGUAUCAUUUGCAUGCUGUCGUUGUAGUGACCGAUUCUUGAUUGUGGCUAAUUCUAUUAAAAGAUUGAGUAUUAAUGGAAAGUACAAUGUGAAGGAACCCUAGUCCAAGACCUAAGUUAAUU